CGCGUCUCGUCCAAGCGCAAAUUGGACGACUAUGCACCGAGUUUCGAAGACGAUGAUGACUUGGAUUUCUCGGAACUAGUCUCUGUCAGAAUGCGAAAAGACGAGUCCCUCGCGGUGGAUUCCUCCUCCGCGGGUAAUAAUCAAUCAUCGUCGCCCUCUUCUUCAAGCCUCUUCGAUACUCGCGUCUCCGAAGCGAAAUCCGCUCAUAACUCCUGCUCCUCUCCUCUGGGGCCCAGUCGUUCGGCUUCCAGGCUUCAGUUUUUUUAUAAGAAUGAUUUCCGAUGGCAACCACAUUGUUAUACAUGCCAAUUCCGACGACACGGUG
rnacentral:misc_RNA from 1 species